rnacentral:lncRNA from 1 species
AAGGAAAGCUGAGGCCUUGAGCAACCCUUAGCUGAAAGCACUAAGCCCCGCCCAGAGCUGGAAUUCUACCCAAUCAUGAGAGGUUCUGAGCCGUCCAUUACUAUCUGCUCUUCAAACCUCGUCCCUGGUAACUGUUGAGAUGGGAGGGGUGUGCUGUGAAAGAGAUCCUGACUUCUAAGCAGUCAGCGACACUGAUGGAAGGCGGGCUCUUGUAUUUGACCAAUGGAGUCGUGAGACUGGGAAUGAGGAGCCAGGACGACUCAGAGGCAGCUGUGUUACCAGAACAACACCCCAGUAUGGCUGAGGACUCCAGGAAGCUGCCACCUGAGAGCUCUCUGCAGGACUUGUAGGCAGUGCUGUAAGUGGGUCAGAGCCCUAUUCUCCGUCUGCAGCAGCAGGUGUUAUCGUGACCUUGGAGGAGGGACCCUGGUGAAACUUGUUCCAUUUCACCUUUCCCAGACUUGUUCUCUUACUUCCUGAGUCUUGAAAACCUCCUUCCUCUUUCCUGGAGGGUGGAAACGGCUGUGUGACAAGGGGGUUAUUUCUAUACUCUCAGGCCCUGUACCAUCUACGUACGAUUCACUCGCUAAGAUCCCCACGCUCUUUGUUGUUUGGUUUUUAUUUUUAUUUCAUGUGUAUGGGUGUUUUGUCUGCAUGUAUAUCUGUGCACCUUGUGUGUACCUGGUACCCAGAGCGGCCACAAGAAAGCACUGGAUUCU